rnacentral:rRNA from 1 species
GCGAUCCUAUGCUGUCGAGAAAAGCCUCUAGUGAGUUGGUACACGGCCCGUACCCCAAACCGACACAGGUGGUCAGGUAGAGAAUACUAAGGCGAUCGAGUGAACUGUGGUGAAGGAACUCGGCAAAAUGCCCCCGUAACUUCGGGAGAAGGGGGGCCUCUGCCGGUGAACGCCCUUGCGGUGGGAGCUGGUGGGGGUCGCAGAGACCAGAGAGAAGCGACUGUUUAUUAAAAACACAGGUCCGUGCGAAGUCGUAAGACGAUGUAUACGGACUGACGCCUGCCCGGUGCUGGAAGGUUAAGAGGACCGGUUAAUCCUUCGGGGUGAAGCUGAGAAUUUAAGCCCCAGUAAACGGCGGUGGUAACUAUAACCAUCCUAAGGUAGCGAAAUUCCUUGUCGGGUAAGUUCCGACCUGCACGAAUGGCGUAACGACUUCUCUGCUGUCUCCACCACAGGCUCGGCGAAAUUGCAUUACGAGUAAAGAUGCUCGUUACGCGCGGCAGGACGAAAAGACCCCGGGACCUUCACUAUAGCUUGGUAUUGGUGUUCGGUGCGGUUUGUGUAGGAUAGGUGGGAGACUGUGAAGCGGGCACGCUAGUGUCGGUGGAGUCGUUGUUGAAAUACCACUCUGAUCGUAUUGGGCUUCUAACCUCGGACCAUGUAUCUGGUUCAGGGACAGUGCCUGGUGGGUAGUUCAACUGGGGCGGUUGCCUCCUAAAGAGUAACGGAGGCGCCCAAAGGUUCCCUCAGCCUGGUUGGCAAUCAGGUGUUGAGUGUAGGUGCACAAGGGAGCUUGACUGUGAGACGGACGUGUCGAGCAGGGACGAAAGUCGGGACUAGUGAUCCGGCACCGGCAAGUGGAAGCGGUGUCGCUCAACGGAUAAAAGGUACCCCGGGGAUAACAGGCUGAUCUUCCCCAAGAGUCCAUAUCGACGGGAUGGUUUGGCACCUCGAUGUCGGCUCGUCGCAUCCUGGGGCUGGAGUAGGUCCCAAGGGUUGGGCUGUUCGCCCAUUAAAGCGGCACGCGAGCUGGGUUUAGAACGUCGUGAGACAGUUCGGUCUCUAUCCGCCGCGCGCGUUAGAAACUUGAGGAAUCCUGUCCCUAGUACGAGGGGACCGGGACGGACGAACCUCUGGUGUGCCAGUUGUUCCGCCAGGAGCAUGGCUGGUUGGCUACGUUCGGAAGGGAUAACCGCUGAAAGCAUCUAAGCGGGAAGCCUGUUCCAAGAUGAGGUUUCUCACCCACUUCGGUGGGGUAAGGCCCCCUACAGACCAUGGGGUUGAUAGGCUGGAACUGGAAGCCCUGUAAGGGGUGGAGGUGACCGGUACUAAUCGGCCGAGGGU